GGCUGCCAUUGCCAUGGCUCAAUGAAAAGGAUAGCAUGCCUUCUCAAUGCCAUCCAUUUUGAACAACAGUACCCAUGGGCAUGACUCUCCAAGAUCAUUCCCAUCAGAAAAAGAAAAUGAAAGCCCUUGUCGACCAAGGAUCGGCCACGAUAGCCCUACAAUAAUGACCAAAGCAAGAUGAUGAAUGCUCCUGGCCCCUAAAUGGAGCCCAAUUUAUAGAGA
rnacentral:lncRNA from 1 species